AUUGAACGCUAGCGGGAUGCCUUACACAUGCAAGUCGAACGGCAGCGCGGACUUCGGUCUGGCGGCGAGUGGCGAACGGGUGAGUAAUGUAUCGGAACGUGCCCAGUAGCGGGGGACAACCACUCGAAAGAGUGGCUAAUACCGCAUACGCCCUACGGGGGAAAGGGGGGAUCGCAAGACCUCUCACUAUUGGAGCGGCCGAUAUCGGAUUAGCUAGUUGGUGGGGUAAAGGCCUACCAAGGCGACGAUCCGUAGCUGGUUUGAGAGGACGACCAGCCACACUGGGACUGAGACACGGCCCAGACCCCUACGGGAGGCAGCAGUGGGGAAUUUUGGACAAUGGGGGAAACCCUGAUCCAGCCAUUCCGCGUGUGCGAUGAAGGCC
rnacentral:rRNA from 1 species